GAUUACUUCUGAAAGUGAAUUAUGCUGAAAAAGCAGGUGUAAACUGUCCCAAUGAAACCAGGAUGCAUGUUUACUCUUCUUCAAGGCAGCCAGGGGGGAAACAAAGUUAGAAUGCUACUGGAGUCAAAUUUUAAAAAGGGAAAUGAGUAGUCCUGAAUUUUGGCAGACCAAGACUGAACCAGUAAAAUAUCUUUUAAAUUAUUUUCAUUAUUAUGUAUAUAUAUUACCUUAUUAUAACCCAAAGUUAAACAUUAAAUAAUGACAUUUUGUCUCCUCAAAGUGACUCAACCUUCAAAAAGAAUGAAGCUUGCAUAUAUUUAUAUCUAUAUACUACAUAUACACAAUGAAUAUAUAUAAUAUGUAUAUAUUAUCUGCUUGUAUUUUUUCCUUAAGUCUACUGGUUUUAAACAAUGUAGGAACAUAAUUUUGAAAGAGAUUGAUUUCCUAAAAAGGACCAAUCACUGAAGGAGGGGUCAGAUUUCCAGACUAAAAUUAACCAAUAUUCAGCUUGUAACUGGCACAUAGUAGGUAUUCAAUAAAUAUUUGAUGAAUGCAUAAAUGAAUGAUGAAUGCUAGCUAAGAUUUUUUUCUCCCACUGUAUUGGCAAGCCAGUAUUUUCAUCUGGUUCAUGCUGUUUCUUCAAUUUAUCAAGGUCACUUUGAAUUCUGAUCUUUUCUUCUGAAGUGUUAGCAACCCCUUCUAACUUGGUGUCAUCUGAAAAAUACUACCUGUAUGAAAUGUGUGACUGAGUUAAGCUAGGAGUGUCAUGUUGGAUAUUUUCUUAAACUAAAACACAGCUGGAAAUUAUUACACAAUCUAAAGCAUACUUCAUUUCAGUCUUAUCAGGCCAGCCUUGUCCACAUUUGACUGAUUUUUCCUCUUAUCAUCCAUAACCGAUCACUCGGCUUCUUCACUAAAUUGAAAAUAAGAUGCACGAUGGAGCCUCAUGAAAAUUAGAGGACAGAAAGGUAAUAGGGAAUGGGUAAGGACAUUAUAGAAAUACGCUGUAAGCAUACAUUAUAAAUUAUACUCCAGUGCAUACCUGCUAUAUAUGCCUCAAUAGGCAAGUCUUGACAUAUAAUGUAUAGGAACAAUCUACUAUAGAUGGUCCCAUAGGGCAGAUGUAAAUUCUCUAAUACAUUCACAUGUCCUCUUUCACAAAAACUAGUAGAAAAAUAUCGUAUUGCUGAGAGCUUAAUUCUCAAGUUCCAUAACCAAUUCACUAUUUUGUUACCAAGAAAGCUUUUAUUUAAAUCAAGAAAGAGUAAUAAUCUCUCAUUAUAUUAAAUUCAAAAUAUUUAGUCUUCUAAAAUGCACACAGCAAAAUUUUUAGUUUCUUUAAAAAAAAAUAAAGAUGAAUAGUAGGAGAUAGGCCCAUCAUGGCUAUAUGUGCAAUAUGAAGGAAAUAACCAAGAUAAUUAUUCUAGUAAUUUAAAAUAAAAUUCUCUUUGCCUAUUUAUUUAAUAAAUGAGGUAAAAGUUGCCUCAUUUGAGUUUAUAUUUAUGGACCCAUGUCACCAUGGAAACUACUAAAAGCCACUGCUCAAAAAUUAGUGGAUUGUAUCUACAUUUUGAUCUCUUUUUUAUUCUUAAAUUCAAAGAAUACUCUUAAAUUUUCUUCCUGUUAUAGAAGAAAAUAAAAAGUACUGCUUACUAACAUACCAAAUAAUUAAAUUUUUUAAUUUUUAUACUAUGUGCCUUUUUUUGUUUGAGGAAACUAUGAAAAUGUAGGUAAAAGAUCAACAUUUCUGUGGAAUAAGUUUCUAAGAGAAUUCCUUUUGUUUACAUAACAAAGGAAAAAACAUCCUUCUAAUGGUAAAGACUCCACUCCUAAAACAUGUUUAAAAUUCCAGUAGCGUGAUAUGUUUUAAUAGCUCAGAACUGCAGUGGCAACACUCCCUUUGAUCCAUAAGUGGCAGUAUGUGUUUGUAUGAGGAGGUACAGUAAGCAGUGUGAAUUCCCAAUGUUGAUGAUGAUCUGUAUGUCACAGCCUUCAUCUCCAACAAUGCUAUAUGCAAAUUAGUGAUAGCUUCAUGCCAGGGUAGAACACCAUUCACAGAGUAAUUGCCAACAUUUUUCCCAGUCGUUCUAUACAUGGAACAAAAAUAAUAACCAUUUAGGGACCUAUUUCUAUAAAUUUGCAGAAUAAAAACAUUAUGUUGUACAUAUUCUUCACAUUAGUUUUAUCACAAUUAGAGAUGUUCCUUUUGGAUAUAUCUUUAAUAUUAUAUAACAUGGAAUUUUAAUACCCCUUCAAUAUUUACUCUGCGUUUUUUUAAACAUUUAGAAAUUUAACAUAGUUUAGUGUAUGAGAACUAUUUGAAAUAAAAUAAAUUCUGUUGCAAAUCAUUUGAAAAUCUUUAAAUGCCAUGAAAAAAUACAUCAUGAUUAGUUGUCUGAGAAAUUACUCUCAGAUUCUGUGGGAGUACAUAGAGCACAAAUGUUUAAAUGAAUUUUUGCUUCACCUAGAAGUGUUUGCUGUUUCUGGGCUUUUCUUUUGAUUUCUAAGAGGAAUAGUACACAUGGAACUGAGCAGGAAUAAAGGAAGGGAUAAUUGUUUCUAAUAACAAGAGCUUAAAUUGUUAGGGAGGGAAAUUUAGCACCAGAUUUUGAAAGUCUAUCAAAUGAGAAACAGGUACUAAUAGGCGAAUUAGAAUCCUAGAAAAUUUCUAUUAUAGCAUCUGUGGGCUUUCCUCAUUCCAUUUAUUUUCUCUCGUUUUAGAAAUGUAGUAGUACAUACCCCUCCUUUUCAGCUUCACGUGUGAAACUGAAGCAACUGCUUCCUCCAUACGCAAAAUGAUUUGUAAAUGCAUUCUGUGAAUAAAACACAUUAAACGCCAUUUGCAUAUAGUACGUUAACACAUGUGAAAAAUGGUUCACACAGUACAUUAGGAAAGGAAUAAACAGAAAUGACUUUAAAAUGCCUGCUAUAUUUAUAACAAUUUAAAAGAUAACAGAGCAAUGAAUUUCAGGUGCAUUGGACUUAAUUCAGUGACAAUGUUUUCUUUGGAAGUCCUUAUUUAUUAAUUUUUUUUGAAAUACUCCUUUGCCAAUUGCAUUGCUAAGCUGCCAAGAUUUUCAGAGCUGACCAGGAGGUGGAGAGCUCAUGCAAAUGAGCUCUUCUCUGCUGGCAGCCCACAAUGACUGAUUCAAAAGAACACUUUAACUUAGAAGAUGAGUCUGUGCUGAGUAUCACCAGCCAGAAACCACACCAGUGUUCUGUGUUAGGUGGAAGGUUGCCUUCAAAAUAAUAUUUUACCUUCCAAAAUUCAAUGGCUCUGUUUCCGAUGAUGGAAGAAUUCAUUUCCUUCAUUUUAAAGUGGAAAUCCCCAUACACUUAAAACCUCUCUCUGUUUAAAUAAAAUUUCUAGGCACUGUUUCUAUUUCCCUCAACGUAUAUAACACCCAUUAACAGGAAUAUAUAUGUACAUCUUUAUUCCCAGGCAGUCUGAAUUAUAUAUGGUUGAGUUUCAGUGUUUAAUAAUAUAUUGAAUCUGAAAAAAAAUGUCGAAAAAUACACUGUGUGUGCAACCCUCAAAGUUUUAUUAGGUUUCCUAGUGUGAACUGGCACACGAUGUAAUUUUCAAGAAUAGUAUAACGGGAUAUGUUGAAUUGGCAAGACGCAAGUCCAGCAGUAUAUUAUAACAUCGUCAUUUUACCUCAGAUUCUGGUUUCGUAUACACUUCCGCCUUUAGUAAUUUACAUAAACAUGCAUAGUCUAUGAAUUAUGCAUAAACCUUAUUUUAAAUGCAGAGCUUUCAACUCUCUCAGUGCACUAGUAUACACACCCAUUUGAUUGGCUCUGCCCUGUUUUCAUUACUCGCAAUUUCUUGGAACACAAAAGAGGUUGAAAAGGCUGACAGGAAUGGACAGUAUUUUUUUCUUGUGUGUAGGGGAAAUAUUUGUUUCCUUUUCAAGGCAAUUGGUGUUGCAAAGUUUUGCCUGUGAUUAUUGUUCCUAGCUGUUAUUUUUUUUCCAAGGAAGAAGGCAUUAAAUGUCUGAACCUACAAAACAGCAAUCAUAAUCAGCUCCUUUAUUUUUUUAUUUUGAAAGGAUGCUGCAGAAAUUGUUCUCUCUUUGACUAAAUCUGAGCAUAUGGCUAUAAUAAAGAAGCAACUGUUAGAUUUUUGGGGAUACCUCAAUCACACUUGAAAUAAGUGGGUAAUCCUAAAUCAUUGAUGGAAUAGUUAGACAUCUAGAAAAUAUAAAAGAUUUAGCAUUGUAAUUUUGUUUAUUCACGUAGGAUUGAAUAUCCCGAUUAAUGUACACAUAUAAUACAUCAUCUGCAUUUGAGACAUUGUGUCAUUACUGUUGUCAUAUCAACUCUAUGUGAAUAAUCUAUACAAUGAUAUAAGGAAGGAGAUUACAGACAUUUUUUGCUAAAAUGAUAGUAUAUUAAAUAAAAAAACAACAGAGGCAUGUGAACAGAAUUUUAAUAUUUUAUUUCUCUAUUAAUCACCUUAUAUUUUAAUAUUUUUAAUAUUAUAGUAAAAAAUGUUGUACUUUAAAAAUAGUGUGAACUUUCCAUUCUCUCCUUUUUGGAAUUUACUUCUUAUUCUUUCAUUCUUUUCUUCAUUUUCUCUUUAUAUACCUCUAGAACUUUGUUCCUUUUUGUCUUCUCUGCUUUUUUCCCCCUCUUUGGCAUAACUUUCCUUUUACUUCAUUAUUAACACAUUGAUAGACAUUAUUCAUCAAAAUAUGCUUGAUAUUAUCUUCCUUUUUAUUAAUUCUUUCUUUUAGCUGAAUCUUCUUAACAUCUAAUUAAGCUUUUAUGAGAAUUUCUUUGUCUUGAUAAAUUCUCUAUUAAUGCUACAGGAAAAUGGAUAUUUGGUUUAAGUGAAAAAGGAGGAGUUUGUGCUACCAAAAUUACUUGCAGGAGUAUAACCUUGGAGGAUCACACAAUUUUGACUUCGUUUUGUUGCAGAGAAUUACCAAGUUCUUCCUUUGUGGCUUUACAUUAGAGAGGGCUACUUGGAGAUUAACGACCAAAAGGAGCCUUUGAGGUCAUUUAUUCAUGAUUUUAUGCAUAGCUUUAGUGUAGUGAGCAUCCGUUCCACAGUAAGAGAGUUAAAUACCAAGCAAAGACAUGUGAAGCUGAAAACUUAGGUUUGAAUUUAGUGCCUAGAACUCAAAGGGGCCAGAAGCAAACUAAAAGUAGUAGUACACUUUGCCUAAGGAAGAUGAGGCAAUUUGCUUCAUUGUUCAUUCUGAAAAAGAAAACUGCACCUGGCAGAUCUUGCUCUGCUGAUUUAGAAAAAAAGACACAGAAAAGUUUGAAAAGCAUAAGCAGAACUAGUCAACCAUGUUACCUUGCUUCAGAGUUAUUCAAAAGUUUAAAAUUAAAACUGCUGUCUGUGUCUGUCUGUCUGUCUAGCUAUCUAUCUAUCUAAGCUUUUGUAAUCAUAUUUGGUAGUAAACAACAUAUUUCUCUUUAAAUAAUAAAAUCUUUGCUUUUUUAUAUUUUAUUUUGUAGUCUUCUCCUUUUUUUUGGCCGUACCCACAGCAUGUAGAAGUUCCCAGGCCAGGAAUCAAAUCUACACCCCACAGUGAUCUGAGCCACUGCAGUGACAAGCUGGAUGCUUAACCUGCUGUGGCACAAAGGAACUCCUUAUAUCUGAUUUUCUUUGGUUUUACCAAAUGACUAUAUAUGCUUUUAUUCCAAAUUAAGUAACAGGAAAAAACACUCAGAAGGAAUUUGUAGUCUAAUCACAAGCAAAAUUUUCAUAAUAUUUGGACUCCCUAGAAAUACGUAACUUUGAGUAAUAUGCUCAUAUCCACUCAUUCUGCAAUAAGCCUAGUGAAAAGGGGAUUCUGUAAGUAGGGGAGAGCUUUCCUAUCUUGAAGCCCUUGAUCUUGCUUCCGGUGGCCAGUUGGCCUACAAUAGAAUAGGUAUAUAACUAAAACUCCUGAAGAGAAAUCUUUGACUUGGGAUUUUAUGACAAU
rnacentral:lncRNA from 1 species